AUGACGCAGCAGAGUUUAUGCUCUGUGCAGUCAGCUAGUAAUUUCUGUUUCGGUGUUAUUUGCCUAAUUGGAUGUUUGUUGUCUGCUCUAGUAUGUCUGGUACAUGUCAAUUUAGUGUCGCUAAUUCCAUAUGAAACUGAUAAUUUGAUUGUGACUUCUUUGUAUGUCUAUCACACCAUUCCAGUAGAGAAGGAAGCAUCGCACUAUGGUGAACAUGUCCAUCCUCAUAUCAUAUUGGCACACAUAAUGGAACCAAGAGUGUGUGAGAUCAGGGCAUUUCUGCAAAUGGUUUCAAAUAUCAGAGAUAGAGUAUGUCUGCAUACUCCAUCAUUAUGUUCUCAAAUGACCAUUGCAGUUUUCAGUGCAAUCCUUGACUACCUAAAGGACAGACCCAGUGCAUAG
rnacentral:rRNA from 1 species